UCUGAUUUAACAUAUAAAUUAAUGUGAGGGAUUGUAAAUCCCUUAAAAGGAUUGGCUA
rnacentral:tRNA from 1 species